rnacentral:lncRNA from 1 species
UAAAAUAUAUGCUUGAUUCGGUAAGGUAGUACUAAAAUAUACAGCUUACCUUUCUUUUCAGAUGUGUAAAGUCUUUUAGGAGUGAGGAGUGAUUUGGACUUAUAGAUGGUUCAUGCCAGCAAGCUUAGAAAUUAUGUUCUCACCCAUGUGACCCGCUGACAUCAUUUGAGAUGGACCCUGCUAGCUCAAAUUUUGACACCAACCACUUUUUCAUAGUAAAUUAACAAGAAGAAGGGAACAUUCGUGUCUGAUGGUGCACUACUCUAUGGAUUCCUCCGUGACAGAUGGUGAAGAAGUUUCACAAGCCAAACACCUUCUCCCAAUUCUUAGCUCCAUUGAAGAAGACGAGUGCCGCCGAGGUGCUCACCGGCAGAGUAAGAA